rnacentral:rRNA from 1 species
GACGAACGCUGGCGGCGUGCUUAACACAUGCAAGUCGAACGGAAAGGCCCUGCUUUUGUGGGGUGCUCGAGUGGCGAACGGGUGAGUAACACGUGAGUAACCUGCCCUUUACUUUGGGAUAACUUCAGGAAACUGGGGCUAAUACCGGAUAGGAGCUCCUGCUGCAUGGUGGGGGUUGGAAAGUUUCGGCGGUUGGGGAUGGACUCGCGGCUUAUCAGCUUGUUGGUGGGGUAGUGGCUUACCAAGGCUUUGACGGGUAGCCGGCCUGAGAGGGUGACCGGCCACAUUGGGACUGCGGUACGGCCCAGACUCCUACGGGAGGCAGCAGUGGGGAAUAUUGCACAAUGGGCGGAAGCCUGAUGCAGAAACGCCGCGUGCGGGAUGACGGCCUUCGGGUUGUAAACCGCUUUCGCCUGUGACGAAGCGUGAGUGACGGUAAUGGGUAAAGAAGCACCGGCUAACUACGUG